rnacentral:rRNA from 1 species
CAUAGGUUAAUGAGGCGAACCGGGGGAACUGAAACAUCUAAGUACCCCGAGGAAAAGAAAUCAACCGAGAUUCCCCCAGUAGCGGCGAGCGAACGGGGAGGAGCCCAGAGCCUGAAUCAGCAUGUGUGUUAGUGGAAGCGUCUGGAAAGGCGCGCGAUACAGGGUGACAGCCCCGUACACAAAAGCGCAUGUGCUGUGAGCUCGAUGAGUAGGGCGGGACACGUGGUAUCCUGUCUGAAUAUGGGGGGACCAUCCUCCAAGGCUAAAUACUCCUGACUGACCGAUAGUGAACCAGUACCGUGAGGGAAAGGCGAAAAGAACCCCGGCGAGGGGAGUGAAAAAGAACCUGAAACCGUGUACGUACAAGCAGUGGGAGCACCCUUUGGGGUGUGACUGCGUACCUUUUGUAUAAUGGGUCAGCGACUUAUAUUCUGUAGCAAGGUUAACCGAAUAGGGGAGCCGGAGGGAAACCGAGUCUUAAUUGGGCGUUAAGUUGCAGGGUAUAGACCCGAAACCCGGUGAUCUAGCCAUGGGCAGGUUGAAGGUUGGGUAACACUAACUGGAGGACCGAACCGACUAAUGUUGAAAAAUUAGCGGAUGACCUGUGGCUGGGGGUGAAAGGCCAAUCAAACCGGGAGAUAGCUGGUUCUCCCCGAAAGCUAUUUAGGUAGCGCCUCGUGAAUUCAUCUCCGGGGGUAGAGCACUGUUUCGGCUAGGGGGCCAUCCCGGCUUACCAACCCGAUGCAAACUGCGAAUACCGGAGAAUGUUAUCACGGGAGACACACGGCGGGUGCUAACGUCCGUCGUGAAGAGGGAAACAACCCAGACCGCCAGCUAAGGUCCCAAAGUCAUGGUUAAGUGGGAAACGAUGUGGGAAGGCCCAGACAGCCAGGAUGUUGGCUUAGAAGCAGCCAUCAUUUAAAGAAAGCGUAAUAGCUCACUGGUCGAGUCGGCCUGCGCGGAAGAUGUAACGGGGCUAAACCAUGCACCGAAGCUGCGGCAGCGACGCUGAUGCGUUGUUGGGUAGGGGAGCGUUCUGUAAGCCUGCGAAGGUGGCCUGUGAGGGUUGCUGGAGGUAUCAGAAGUGCGAAUGCUGACAUAAGUAACGAUAAAGCGGGUGAAAAGCCCGCUCGCCGGAAGACCAAGGGUUCCUGUCCAACGUUAAUCGGGGCAGGGUGAGUCGACCCCUAAGGCGAGGCCGAAAGGCGUAGUCGAUGGGAAACGGGUUAAUAUUCCCGUACUUGGUGUUACUGCGAAGGGGGGACGGAGAAGGCUAUGUUGGCCGGGCGACGGUUGUCCCGGUUUAAGCGUGUAGGUGUGUGUUCCAGGUAAAUCCGGUUCACUUUAACACUGAGGCGUGAUGACGAGGCACUACGGUGCUGAAGCAACAAAUGCCCUGCUUCCAGGAAAAGCCUCUAAGCAUCAGGUAACAUCAAAUCGUACCCCAAACCGACACAGGUGGUCAGGUAGAGAAUACCAAGGCGCUUGAGAGAACUCGGGUGAAGGAACUAGGCAAAAUGGUGCCGUAACUUCGGGAGAAGGCACGCUGACACGUAGGUGAAGUGAUUUACUCAUGGAGCUGAAGUCAGUCGAAGAUACCAGCUGGCUGCAACUGUUUAUUAAAAACACAGCACUGUGCAAACACGAAAGUGGACGUAUACGGUGUGACGCCUGCCCGGUGCCGGAAGGUUAAUUGAUGGGGUCAGCGCAAGCGAAGCUCCUGAUCGAAGCCCCGGUAAACGGCGGCCGUAACUAUAACGGUCCUAAGGUAGCGAAAUUCCUUGUCGGGUAAGUUCCGACCUGCACGAAUGGCGUAAUGAUGGCCAGGCUGUCUCCACCCGAGACUCAGUGAAAUUGAACUCGCUGUGAAGAUGCAGUGUACCCGCGGCAAGACGGAAAGACCCCGUGAACCUUUACUAUAGCUUGACACUGAACAUUGAGCCUUGAUGUGUAGGAUAGGUGGGAGGCUUUGAAGUGUGGACGCCAGUCUGCAUGGAGCCGGCCUUGAAAUACCACCCUUUAAUGUUUGAUGUUCUAACGUGGACCCGUGAUCCGGGUUGCGGACAGUGUCUGGUGGGUAGUUUGACUGGGGCGGUCUCCUCCUAAAGAGUAACGGAGGAGCACGAAGGUUGGCUAAUCCUGGUCGGACAUCAGGAGGUUAGUGCAAUGGCAUAAGCCAGCUUGACUGCGAGCGUGACGGCGCGAGCAGGUGCGAAAGCAGGUCAUAGUGAUCCGGUGGUUCUGAAUGGAAGGGCCAUCGCUCAACGGAUAAAAGGUACUCCGGGGAUAACAGGCUGAUACCGCCCAAGAGUUCAUAUCGACGGCGGUGUUUGGCACCUCGAUGUCGGCUCAUCACAUCCUGGGGCUGAAGUAGGUCCCAAGGGUAUGGCUGUUCGCCAUUUAAAGUGGUACGCGAGCUGGGUUUAGAACGUCGUGAGACAGUUCGGUCCCUAUCUGCCGUGGGCGCUGGAGAACUGAGGGGGGCUGCUCCUAGUACGAGAGGACCGGAGUGGACGCAUCACUGGUGUUCGGGUUGUCAUGCCAAUGGCACUGCCCGGUAGCUAAAUGCGGAAGAGAUAAGUGCUGAAAGCAUCUAAGCACGAAACUUGCCCCGAGAUGAGUUCUCCCUGAGACUUAGAGUCUCCUGAAGGAACGUUGAAGACGACGACGUUGAUAGGCCGGGUGUGUAAGCGCAGCGAUGCGUUGAGCUAACCGGUACUAAUGAACCGUGAGGCUUAACCUU